AGAGAUGUGUGAUGACGCAUAUCAAUAAGCGGAGGAAAAGAAACUAACAAGGAUUCCCUUAGUAACGGCGAGUGAAGCGGGAAGAGCUCAAAUUUGAAAUCUUCAAGGUUCUACCUUGACGAAUUGUAGUUUAUAGAAGUGUUUUCUGUUAGUGGAGUGGCAAAAGUUCUUUGGAAUAGGACAUCAUAGAGGGUGAGAAUCCCGUAUUUGGUCAUUCCUUCCUAGCUUUGUGAUACACUUUCAACGAGUCGGAUUGUUUGGGAAUGCAGUCCAAAAUGGGUGGUAAAUUUCAUCUAAAGCUAAAUAUUGGCGAGAGACCGAUAGCGAACAAGUACCGUGAGGGAAAGAUGAAAAGAACUUUGAAAAGAGAGUUAAACAGUACGUGAAAUUGUCAAAAGGGAAGCGUUUGACACCAGUGUUGUUUUUCCGAAAAUCAAUUACGAAUGUUUUGUUUUUAAGAAGUUAUGACUUCAUCGGCUUGCUUCUCUCUUUACGAAACUUUCUUAAUGCACUUUUCGGUUAACAAGUCAACAUCAAUUUCUUUUGUUGUAAAAGGGUAUGAGGAAGGUGGCUUUCUUUUCGGAGAAAGUGUUUAUAGCCUUGUACCUCUGCAAUCGGAGAGAUUGAGGUCUGCAGCGUAGAUCCUUCGGGGUUAGAUACAUUUGUGCUAAGUUAUAGCUUGUCAUAGACAACUUGUUGACUAUGUUGAGUCUUGUAAUUUACUCGCAGAUGCUAUUUUACCUACGCUUAGGAUGUUGAGGUCAUCGUAUCGCGC
rnacentral:rRNA from 1 species